GCCGGGCGCCGUGUCGCGCGCCUGUAGUCCCAGCUACUCGGGAGGCUGAGGUGGGAGGAUCGCUUGAGUCCAGGAGUUCUGGGCUCUAGUGCGCUAUGCCGACAGGGUGUCCGCACCAAGUUCGGCAUCAAUAUGGUGACCUCCCGGGAGCAGGGGCCCACCAGGUUGCCUAAGGAGGGGUGAACCGGCCCAAGUCGGAAACGGAGCAGGUCAAAACUCCCGUGCUGAUCAGUACUUUUUUUAAAAAAAUAUUAUUUAUUGUUUUUAGUUAUACUUGACAGUUGAAUCUAUUUUGAU
rnacentral:SRP_RNA from 1 species